CGAUUGUAGUCAUAUGCUUGUCUCAAAGAUUAAGCCAUGCAUGUCUAAGUAUAAGCAAUUAUACCGCGAAACUGCGAACGGCUCAUUAAAUCAGUUAUCGUUUAUUUGAUAGUACCUUACUACAUGGAUAACCGUGGUAAUUCUAGAGCUAAUACAUGCUAAAAAUCCCGACUUCGGAAGGGAUGUAUUUAUUAGAUUAAAAACCAAUGCCCUUCGGGGCUCUCUGGUGAUUCAUAAUAACUUCUCGAAUCGCACGGCCUUGCGCCGGCGAUGGUUCAUUCAAAUUUCUGCCCUAUCAACUUUCGACGGCUGGGUCUUGGCCAGCCAUGGUGACAACGGGUAACGGAGGGUUAGGGCUCGACCCCGGAGAAGGAGCCUGAGAAACGGCUACUACAUCCAAGGAAGGCAGCAGGCGCGCAAAUUACCCAAUCCCGACUCGGGGAGGUAGUGACAAUAAAUACUGAUACAGGGCUCUUUUGGGUCUUGUAAUUGGAAUGAGUACAAUUUAAAUCCCUUAACGAGGAACAAUUGGAGGGCAAGUCUGGUA
rnacentral:rRNA from 1 species